UCCCCCCUAAAUUCCCUAGUAGCGGCGAGCGAGCGGGAAGAGCUCAAAUUUAUAAUCUGGCACCUUCGGUGUCCGAGUUGUAAUCUCUAGAAAUGUUUUCCGCGUUGGACCGCACACAAGUCUGUUGGAAUACAGCGGCAUAGUGGUGAGACCCCCGUAUAUGGUGCGGACGCCCAGCGCUUUGUGAUACAUUUUCGAAGAGUCGAGUUGUUUGGGAAUGCAGCUCAAAUUGGGUGGUAAAUUCCAUCUAAAGCUAAAUAUUGGCGAGAGACCGAUAGCGAACAAGUACCGUGAGGGAAAGAUGAAAAGCACUUUGGAAAGAGAGUUAACAGUACGUGAAAUUGUUGGAAGGGAAACGCUUGAAGUCAGACUUGCUUGCCGAGCAAUCGGUUUGCAGGCCAGCAUCAGUUUUCCGGGAUGGAUAAUGGUAGAGAGAAGGUAGCAGUUUCGGCUGUGUUAUAGCUCUCUGCUGGAUACAUCUUGGGGGACUGAGGAACGCAGUGUGCCUUUGGCGGGGGUUUCGACCUCUUCACACUUAGGAUGCUGGUGGAAUGGCUUGAAACGACCCGUCUUGAAACACGGACCCAA
rnacentral:rRNA from 1 species